rnacentral:sRNA from 1 species
AACGAAUGACACGUAUUCCAAAUCUGUUUAAAAAAUGAACAAUAUCGACUGGAAGUCCGGCAAAGCUGGCCAAUACUUAAGUAGGUCGGCGUAGCACCUCCCCCAAGUGAUUCGCCGAUAAAAGGCAGCAACGGAAUGUCGGCCUUUGUUUUACUCCUAAUGGUCUUAACCCGGAUUCCCCAGAGCCCGG